rnacentral:rRNA from 1 species
AGAGUUUGAUCCUGGCUCAGAACGAACGCUGGCGGCAUGCCUAACACAUGCAAGUCGAACGAAGGCUUCGGCCUUAGUGGCGCACGGGUGAGUAACGCGUGGGAAUCUGCCUAUCAGUGGGGAAUAACGACGGGAAACUGUCGCUAAUACCGCAUACGCCCUUCGGGGGAAAGAUUUAUCGCUGAUAGAUGAGCCCGCGUACGAUUAGCUAGUUGGUGAGGUAAUGGCUCACCAAGGCUACGAUCGUUAGCUGGUCUGAGAGGAUGAUCAGCCACACUGGGACUGAGACACGGCCCAGACUCCUACGGGAGGCAGCAGUGGGGAAUAUUGGACAAUGGGCGAAAGCCUGAUCCAGCAAUGCCGCGUGAGUGAUGAAGGCCUUAGGGUUGUAAAGCUCUUUCGGGUGGGACGAUGAUGACGGUACCACCAGAAGAAGCCCCGGCUAACUUCGUGCCAGCAGCCGCGGUAAUACGAAGGGGGCUAGCGUUGUUCGGAAUUACUGGGCGUAAAGCGCACGCAGGCGGCUCGUUAAAUUAGAAGUGAAAGCCUUGGGCUUAACCUGAGAAUUGCUUUUAAGACUGGCGAGCUUGAAUCCAGAAGAGGGUAGUGGAAUUCCGAGUGUAGAGGUGAAAUUCGUAGAUAUUCGGAAGAACACCAGUGGCGAAGGCGACUACCUGGUCUGGCAUUGACGCUCAUGUGCGAAAGCGUGGGGAGCGAACAGGAUUUGAUACCCUGGUAGUCCACGCCGUAAACGAUGGGUGCUAGUUGUUGGGGACCAUAGGUCUUCAGUGACGCAGCUAACGCACUAAGCACCCCG